CGAAACUGAACCCGGUUUGUACGUAUGGACCGCGUCGUUGGAAUCCAAAAGAACCAGGUUCGUACGUACACUGUUCAUCG